rnacentral:rRNA from 1 species
GCCGAAGGCGGCGAUCGUUGUUCGAAAUCACUGGGCUUAAAGGGCGCGUAGGCGGAUGCGAACGUGUCGUGUGAAAUCCACCGGCUUAACCGGGGAAUGGUUCGGCAAACUACGGGUCUUGAGGCAAGCAGGGGUGCGUGGAACUCUUGGUGGAGCGGUGGAAUGCGUAGAUAUCAAGAGGAACGCCGAAGGUGAAGCCAGCGCACUGGGCGUGCCCUGACGCUGAGGCGCGAAAGCGUGGGGAGAAAACAGG